UAUAAAAUUAAAAAAAAAAAAAAAUUGGAUACAGAAAUAAGGGAGAUGUCAGUAAAAGGAAAUAUAUCUAUUAAGGUAACCACAUGAACACGUGCUCAUUAGUCCAACUAUCACCGGUUAUCCUUGGAUAUCACUGUCCGAUCCUGGCUGUCAUUGAUUGCCAGCGAUAUUUUUUUUUAAAUCUUUUCCCAAAGAUUUUAAUAAAUAAACAGAAAAAUAUGUUCUUAUAGAAAAAUAUUUUUCUGUAUAUUCCAAAAAUGAGAAAAUAAUUUCAAACUAAUUUUCAGUAUUGCAACCAAACAAUGGUAAAUAGGAUAGUUCUAUGAAAUGUUUGCCUGAAUAUUUCUACGGACUAUUUUCUGUGAAACAAAGCCAAAUGGAAUCUACGUACAAAGCUUGUGCUCUGUCUACCAUAAUAUUUCACCAAAGUUAAACUAUAAUGUGAAAACUAUGUGCUUGAAUGUGGAUUCCUUUCCCAAUCACUUCAGUAAACUUUAAAAGCUAUUCGUUCUUUAUCUCUGCUCUAUGUCAAGAAGUAGAUUUCCAUUCCACUCUAUUUCUACACCCUAAAUAUGAAUUCUCAUUUAUUGAUCUGAACCCUAAAAUGGUUUGUGUUUGGGAUUCCUAAUCAUAGUAGUAGGAUUAACUAAAUCUCCCUUAUUACCUAUGUAAUUAGUUAUUUUUCUUAGGUGAUAACCUUGUUUAGGUAAGCUUGUGAGACGAUGACGUGUUUGGGUCAAUGUGAAUUGUCGGUUGAACUAGGGGUUUGAGGAUGGUACAAUUAUGGCAUAAUAUGGCCUGAAAGAGGUCUGCCUUACUAUGGAAGGAAGGCCUGUAUUUAUAGAAUUAGGGAACUAAUGUCUAUCCAACAUGUGUAAAGUGUAUGCAAGUGGGCUGUCCCAAUCACUUGACGACUAUAUCAUGGUUUAAUCAAGUUGUUUUACGAAUCUGACCAUCUCCAACUAUGAUUGGAUGGGUUUGUUAAUCUGUUAGGGCUUACGAGUGGUUCGUCCGACUGGUUUUCCUUUCAAGGGAAGGUCUUCCGAUCCCUUCUUACAGAGACGUUCCGAUUCAAACUAGUCGGCGGAAACAUGAAGCACUCGGAUUCUUGCCUCGCUUCCAUACCCAUACUCCCUAAGCUAUAAUAACUAAUUUCCUGGUCUAUUCUAAUCAUUUAUUUGUCAUUUAGUCAACAGGGUGAUAUCUUUGUCACCUACUCCCGGGUUUUCAUAACAAAUGUACCAUGGCAAUGGCAUUGCCCCUUGGAGGCUACUCUAGUGACUCUUUCAACAUUCUGCCAAUGCAACCCGACUGCUUCCAGUGAAGCAUGAUUGGAGAAAGUGUCCUGUUUGAUCCAGGUAUUGGGUUUAAGUUACUUCAAAAUGACUUGGUAAUGACAUAAUUAGACCAGAGUGAAUGGGGCCGACUCCUUAUGUAUCUAGGUAGCAUAUUAAGAGUCUGAGGCCAUUACAUAUGAGUUCCAGGGCUCUCUCCCUCUCUCUAUCCUACCUUGGUUGGGUAUCCUUUACGAUCUUCAGAGUCGUAUGUACAUUCCACUAUAGAGGCUGUACACGUUUCCUUCAUCCAGAGACCCAUUCUAAUUAUAAUGUAUCAUUAGGUUUAUAAUACAAUUUUGAGCAUUUGAUUUGAAAGGCUUUGUGCUUACCAUAUAUCUCUCCCCUAUUUUUCUCUCUUCUUCUCCUUUCACUUUGCUACUACUUCUACUUCUCCUUCUCUCAGUUGCUAUAGCACCUUGAGUUAUUGUUUAGAAAAGCUCCCAGACAGCUUCCAGUUUCUUUUCUUUUCUCACUCUAAUAAUCUAUUUCAAUUUCUUACACUUGACUCCCUUCUUGCUUAAAACUCAUCAAUUACUUGACAUAUGCCCACCAUAAAAGAAUUUGUAGGCUGGUGCAUUAAUGUGUCUUACAUCAUUUCACAUGCCUAAUACUGUGUCUUACAUCAAUUCAUUUUUUCCACUCUCAAUAAACUUUUCCUCCUCUUCACAAAAUAAGAAAUCCCAAAUAGUCAAAUAGUCCCAACUAUCGGAUGUUGAUCCUGAAAUAUAAUUCUGCCAUUCUUUUGCCACUACUGCCCAAGAGCAAAAAAGUUUCUCUUCCUUUGGAAACAGGCAUAUUCAACUUUUGAAUUGGAACAUUGGUACAAAAAGUUCACAAACAAGCAUGCAAAUCCUAGCAAUUAUAAAGGUAUGAUGGAUCAACAAAUGGCAUAAUAAUUCAG
rnacentral:misc_RNA from 1 species